CUCUAAGAAGCAGAAGACACUUGCUGUGAAAACGGAAAUGGAUGUUGAAUUCUGAAGAAAAGCUUAUUUUAGUGAUCUUUGCAGAAUGUUGUCCACUAAGCUAAUGAUGGGGAUUGUAGCACUACCCUGCACACAGACAUGGAAUUGAUCUGCCUAGUCCAUUAUCAGAAGAGUGACCAGGACUGUUCCUCCCAUCAGAGAAGUUUCUUGAGAAGCAUUACAAGGGACUUGUCUGAAUGGGCAGAAGAAAUGUUUUAACUGACUAUCCCAUCAUUGUCAGCUGUUGGAGACUGAACAAUUUACUGAAAUCAGUCCUGGGGUGUAGCAGUCAGUGGGUGUCCUCAUUUGUCCCAAGAAGAGUCAGAGAAGUAUUCAUUUUUACUGUAAAAAGUUUAGUUCAUGUAAAGAGCAUGAAGGCAGAUUUUACAGUUAUCUCCCUUAGACUAUGUAAAUUAUAAUACAGCACUUGCUAAUGAUGUUAUUUUACAUAUUAAAUGUUGUUUGAAUUUUUGUCAAUUUGGUUGGUAGUCAAAGACAUGAGUUAUAGCUGCCUGUAUUGUACCUGUUUACCUACAGAAUUAAACAUAGAUUACAUGCACCUGACUCUCCAGGACAUGUUAUAUACCUGUCUGUCUUUAGAUGGGACGUAUUAUGGUACAGCAAUGUCUGCAUGUCCGUCUGUAGAUGGAACAUAUUAUGGUACAACAAUGUCUGUAUGUCUAUCUUUAGAUGGGAUGUAUUAUGGUACGGUAAUGUCUGUAUGUCCGUCUGUAGAUGGGACAUAUUAUGAUACAGUAAUGUCUGUAUGUCCGUCUGUAGAUGGGACAUAUUGUGAUACAGUAAUGUAUGUAUGUCUGUCUGUAGAUGGGACAUAUUAUGGUACAGCAAUGUCUGUAUGUCUGUCUGUAGAUGAGACAUACCAUAGUACAACAAUAUAUCUAUGUCUGUCUGUACUCUGUAGAUGGGAAGUAUUAUGAUACAGCAAUGUCUGUAUGUCUGUCUGUAGAUGGGACGUAUUAUGGUACAACAAUAUCUGUAUGUCUGUCUGUAGAUGGGACGUAUUAUGAUACAACAAUGUCUGUAUGUCUGUCUGUAGAUGGGAUGUAUUAUGGUACAAAAAUGUCUGUCUGUAGAUGGGCAGUGUUAUGGUACAGAAAUGCCUGUACAUCCGUCUGUAGAUAGAUUGUAUUAUGGUACAGCAAUAUCUCCAUAUACGUCUGUAGAUGGGGUGUAUUAUGGAACAAUGUCUGUAGGUGGGACGUAUUAUGGUAUAUUAAUGUAUGUCUGUCUGUAGACGGGCCAUAUCAUGGUACAUCAAUGUCUGUAAGUCCGUUUGUCGGUGGGACGUAUCACUGUACAGUAAUGUAUGUCUGUCUGUCUGUCUGUCUUAAGAUGGGAUGCAUUGUCCAUCAUCGGUGGCCUCGUGGCUAGCCUGUCAGACUCUUGACCAAAAGGUCGUGGGUUCGAAUCCUGACCUCGGCAGAGCCGACGUUGUGUCCCUGGGAAAGGCAAUUUACAUGAAUUUCCUCACUCCACCCAAGUGUAAAAGGGGUACCUGGCUAUAGACAGUGAAAGAUAUUGUUAGAAUGUUAGUGCUUUAGCGCCUGUAACGACAGCUGGCACUGUAUGCUUCACAGGAAGCUGAGAAAGUUCUAGGUUGAUAUAAGAUCUGCCGGGGUGAUAAUGUAUUGUGAAGCGGUUUUAGCAGCUGGAAAAAGCGCUAUGUUAUGUAAUUUGAGUGUGUGAGUUUUGAGUGCUAGUGAGCAUGUAGAGUGUGAAUGGUUUUGUUUGUGUCCUUUCUGUGUGAAUGAAGUUAUUUCUUGUUUGUGUUUCUUUUCCAUAUGUCAAUGUUCAGUUUGAAAAUGAGGAGUUUUUCCUAUCUCGAGUCAAAAUUAUGACAACCGAUAAGACCAGUGAGUCUCUUGUUUAGAUUGAUUGAUUGUAUCUUGCUUAACAUCUCGCUCGAGAAUUGUUCACUCAUAUGGAGACGUCACCAAGACUGAUAAAGGGCUUCAAAUUUAGGACUAUGCUCGGUGCCAAUGGCCAUUGAGCAGUAAGGGUUCUUUAGCAUGCCACACCUACUGUGACACGAGACAUCUGUUUUUAAGGUAAUCUCCGAGGACCUGUGACAUUCACACCUGAUGGUUUGGCGAUGGAACUGUCACUACCUAUUUUAAUGACUUAGGUCUGUCACAGUCGGGAUUCGAACCCCGGCCCUCCGCAUGCUGGCCGAACGCUCUUAACUUCUCGGCCACCGCGACAAAAUUCUUGGGGAUCUUAAUUUGCUGAAACUUUCAUUUACAUGUACUAGUACCUGUCUGAUUUCUGGCCAUUCCAGCACUCAUUCUCAGUUUGGUUUUUCAGCUCCCUGGGCCUCAUGAGAUUGUGACACCGUGCAGUAGGAGCAGUUUCUACUGGUAUCUCUUAAAAGCAGACAGAGAUUUCUUAUCAUCUGAUCCAUUUCUGGAGACAAACUUUUGUAUGGAGCUGGGUAGCAGUUACUUGAGAUGUCCGGCUGAUGGAUGAAGAUAAUUUCCCUGAGACUCUAACAUUUUGUAGAACUUGGAUAGCUCUAUUCAGUAUUGCUGUAGAAAAUGUCAGGUUUGGACGGUGGAGAUUUAGAUAAGUGGUGUGAUGUUAUUGAUGGUCAACAGAAGACUGACCUUGAAUCUGAAGACCUGUGAUGAAGACUGGACGUUUGGGGUCACUCUCUGUUACAGUACUACAAAUCUAACAGUGAGCCACUCAGCCACAAAGAGGUUGUCUCUGAUGUCCACACAUAAACUGUAUGGAUAGUCUAAACCACAGUGAAUGUAACGGAGGAACUGUCCGUCCUGAUCUAGGAUGUGGAUACGGUUAUUGUCAUAGUCUGCUGUCAGGAUGUGACUCUGGCUGUCUGUAGUGAUGCCGCGUGGAUUAAAUGAUUGCUUGGUAUUAGAGGGAUGACCAGUGUAUCUAAAUCGGAGUUUUCCUGACUGAUUGACCACCACUACUGCACUAGCUUCACAGUCAGUCACACAGAUAUCCAGGUUCUUGUUCUCACUGAGGUAUUUAUAACCACCAGAUGAGUAGAGAGGACGACCCUGAUCAUCAAACUGAAUGCUUUGUUUCUCUGUGGAGCCGGAGUAACGCACGACUUUGGAUUGUUUUCUAUCAUCACUGACCAUGGUAACCAGGAGGUCGUUACCCGCGGUACAGCAGACAUAGAGAGGUCUCCACCCCUGUAGUGUGAUCACGAAUGAGUUGAGUGGAAUAAUGAACCUCCAGAUGUCUAUGUACACGUGUAUGAAUAAACUGUUGUACUCGCGCGUGCGAGCUUAUCC